AUGUCACACGUUCCCAUGGUGAUGAGAAAUAUACCUCUGCCUUUCUUCCCAACUCUACUCUUUGAGCUGAGCAGUUCAAAGUUGAUAUUGAGUGAGUUCUCAGCUCUCUAUCUAGCAUCUUUGAUGAUGGGCAAUCUCAAUUGUUGCUCCUGCGAAGGAUCUACAGUCAGAAACCCAAAACAAAAACUAUUUUGAAACCAAUUGUGUACACCUGGACUGAAAAGUGGGCGAAAAUAUUUCAAGUUUGCAGAAAAGAAUAAUUCAUCCAUCAAAGGAGUCAAUGGAAGAUGCAUCCUAUGAUUCUUUGGUCAUUACACUCUUCCAGAAGAUCAGAGUGGAAGUGAAAUUAAUUUUGUCAAGGCGAGCUUGAGGAUCUUUAACCGAGGAACGAAUGUCACUUUCUUGGUUUCUUUCCACACAAAUUCCAAUGAAAAUCAGACAGUGUCCAUUUGGGAUGAUAUACAUAAUCUUCCAGCUUGGAAGAGUGUGGAGUGGUUGCCUCUUGUCAAGCAUUACCUUAUUUGAGAAGAUGUUUAUGUUGGCGACACCAAAGCUGGAAAUAAACAGCAUGAUGGGGUAAAUUACCUCAGCAACAGUU